rnacentral:rRNA from 1 species
GUGUCAGCCGCCGCGGUAAUACGUAGGGUGCGAGCGUUAAUCGGAAUUACUGGGCGUAAAGCGUGCGCAGGCGGUUUGCCAAGUCCGAUGUGAAAGCCCCGGGCUCAACCUGGGAAUGGCAUUGGAAACUGGCAGGCUGGAGUGUGGCAGAGGGGGGUGGAAUUCCACGUGUAGCAGUGAAAUGCGUAGAGAUGUGGAGGAACACCGAUGGCGAAGGCAGCCCCCUGGGCCAACACUGACGCUCAGGCACGAAAGCGUGGGGAGCAAACAGGAUUAGAUACCCUGGUAGUCCACGCCCUAAACGAUGGCAACUAGGUGUUGGGGAAGCGAUUCCUUGGUACCGUAGCUAACGCGUGAAGUUGCCCGCCUGGGGAGUACGGUCGCAAGAUUAAA